UCUCACACUCUUCCCCACUCACACACACGCACACCAGCAACAACACACACAGUAGCAGUGAAACAGAAAACAAAGAAAGAAAGGGAAGGGGAAAGCAGAAUCAGGGAAGGGGAGAAGAGAGGGAGAUCUGAGAGACGAAAGAUUCAGAGAGGAUGGAGACGCCGUCAUCCUUGUCGCCGUUUGUGGAGCCGCGAGGAGUGUCGCUGUCGAAGCCACGCCGUUCGUCCCUGCCCAGUCGCCGUUCUGCCGUCCAUCAACCACGUUCCGUCGCCUGAGAAGAACCAUGAAGAUGAGAGAGAGCUCGUGUGCGAAAGGUAGCGGCGCUGUGCCUCCGUCACGCCACUAUCACCGUCGAACUGCUUUGCUGUUGCUAGCUCUGUCACGACUAAUCUGCCGCCGCCACUGUUAGAGUUUGUCACCGCCACUUUUGCCAAUGCCGGCGAGCACGAAGAGAGAGAGAGAUAGGAGUUUUCAUAGCAGAGAGAACGUGACAGGGGAGCCCUUGUUGAAGCUAGUCACUGCCGCUGAGAUGCCAUCGCUGCUGCCUCCAUUUCCGCCACAGAUGCCCUCGGUGCUGCCACUAGAAGGUCGUCGGAAUUAGUUAGAGCUGCCGUUCUGAUUCUGCUCUGUUUCGGUUGAUGUCAUCGUCGCCGUUCUGGUCGCCAAAGAACUAUCCUUGGAGCCGCCACUGUCCUGUGAAUUACUCCGCUGCCGCCGCCAUUGGAGGUAGGUGUCGUUGGUUGUGUUCGAAAGAAUGAAGCUGUUGCGUUGCUGGUUGCGGCUCAGCCAAUCGUCACGUCCCAACCGCGCCUUCAAUUUAGUUUCUGCAAAAUUUGAAAGUUGAGAAACCGUCCUCCUUCAGAAACCCGUGCCCUGCUCCUCCUCUUUCAGAAAGCUUCACGCCGUUUUCUCACCGUCGCCCUU